CUGGAGGAGAGGUGCCACCUAAAGGAAGCGGCGGAGAGGGACGCCCGGCGGCGGGCACCGGGCCCGCUCCUCCUCCCACCUCCCGCCGCAGCCGCGCCCGCACCGCCCCGGGGACCGCGGGGAACGCGGCUCGCAGCCCCUCGGGAGGCACCGGAGAGCUCGGCGGGUGUUUUCACCUGCUCUGGAUCUGCGCACCGGGGAGGCGGCGAGAGACAUCCGAACCCGCGGUGCCUCCUCUUCCUCACCAGAUUCGGCUGCUGCGGGUGCGGAGCCGCUGCUUUCCCGAGGGAUGAGGAUUCAGAGAGCCCUUUGGGUACAGCCCGAAGGAGAACUCUUCCCUGUGGCUGAGCCCUCUCGUCAUCCCUGCCCUUUGGGGUCAGUCUUCCGCGGGCAGGAAGGACAGCGGCGUGCCUCAGUUUACCCAAAGAGCACGAGGGUUUCACUGUAGCUGAAGCAGGGUGAAGCUGGAUUCCCACCCUGCUCAGCCCUCCCUGUCCGGGAGGGUCAAGGGCUCCCGCACAGGGAGAUCCCAUCUGCAGCCAUCCCUCCUGAGAAACAGAAAGGUGGAUUUUUAUUAACUGAACUCGUUUGCUCAGUGAGGAAAGGAGGAGGGAAGGAUUGUGCCCGGGAAAGCUGAACAAUAUGGGGAGGUGGUGGCUCUGUCCCUGCUAGGCAGAGGUUCAGCUGCCACCAGAGCCAUGGACAAUGUGGGAUAUGUCUGUGUGCAUGUGAAACCCCACUUGGAACUCUGCAUACAGUCCUGGUGCCCCCAGCACAUGGGACAUAGAGCUCUGGGAGCAGGUCUGGACUGGAGCCCCUCCCCAAUGGAGCCACACUGGGAGCUGGGAUUGUUCAGCCUGGAGAGGAGAAAGUUGUGUGGAGACCUCACAGCACCUUCCAGGGUCAGAAGGGGCUGCAAGGAAGCCAGAGAGGGACUUUUCAUCAAGAACCAGAGUGCCAGGACACAGUGAAUGGCUUCCCACUGCCAGAGGGCAGGGCUGGAUGGGAUAUUGGGAAGGAAUUGUUCCCUGGGAGGGUGGGCAGCCCUGGCACAGGGUGCCCAGAGCAGCUGUGGCUGCCCCUGGAUCCCUGGCAGUGCCCAAGGCCAGGCUGGACACUGGGAGGUGUCCCUGCCCACGGCAGGGGUGGGAAUGGAUGAGCUGGUUCCUUCCAGCCCAACCCAUUCUGACAUUCUAUAAUGUGUGUAAUUAUCUUUACCUGUGUACACCAGGAAUAGAAACGCUACUGAGCCUUCACCCUCGCUUGUGGUUUGUCACCCCAAUAUAGGCCUCAGGGUUGUUGUCACAACCACAUCCCUCCCAGGCCAGCCCAGUUUCCACCUUUCUUGUAGGCAUCACUGCACAGUGAGCCAGGGUUCAUUUCUCCUGUGUGCCAAAUCCUCUCACCACACCCAGAGCUGAGGGUCCCUCACACUGACCCAGCCCACAACCAUCUAUGGGAAAAAGAAGCUCACCCAAAGACACCCAGCUGAACACUUGGGGCAACUGGAGGUGAUUUGCUCAGUGUGGGCCUUAUUUGUGCAACAGCCUCAACUGGCCCAAGGUCCUGGGCUCAGAAUCACAGGAUGGAUUGGGUUAGAAGGGAUCUUAAAGCUCACCUGGUUCCGAUCCCACUGCCGUGGGCAGGGAUACCGUCAUUAGGUCAUUGAAAACCCACCUGAAAGUGACCCAGAAGAGCUGUCCAGACACCCUCUAAUGGCAGAUGUGAAGUUCUGUGCAGCCCAGGGCCUGCAGCCCCUUCCUGCACCCCUGGAGAGGGCAGCUGGCACCUGGGGAGGGCAGGGGGCUCCCUCUGGCCGCUCUCUUUCUGCUCCUCCAGAGUGCAAAGGUGCCGAGAUGAUUCCCUAAACCUCUUCCUUCCCACACCUGCAGUCCAGCUCAGGCAUCCCCUGAUCUUCUCCAGCCCUUCUGCCUCGCCUGCCCCUUCCCUCUGUUUGCUCUGGGUGACUCCAGCUGUAUCCUGCCCAUCCUGGAUUUUCCAGGAGCCCUGCACACACUUAAUGAACAGGAGAGCUCUUAAUGAACGUGCUGCCAGAGGAGCAUUGUGCCCACAGGGCCACAGCUGGAACACUUGGGUCACUUUUGGAUGCUUGGGCCAGUCCAUGGCAGGUCUGCUCUGAAGGAACAGAAGGGUUUUCUGGGAAUGCCAGGAGAGGUGAGGUCUGGGAAGAGACAAGGAACAUUCCUGUGCAAUCUGCUGCAGCACACUCUGCUGUUGGUUUGUGGACAUCUUCUGGGCGGGAGGAUGAUCCCACCCUGCCCAGCUAUUGCUGCAGUGGCAGCCCAGCUAGCACAGGUUAGGAACGUGCUGCACCUCCCUUUUGAACACGCCUGCCAGCACUCCUGUUUCAGCAGUGCCCUUCCACUCCACCACCCCAAGCGCUGCAGCAGGGGAGAGAGGUCACCGACGUGUGGGGCAUCAAAAUAGCUGCAGAAGAAAGGACCCUGGAGCUGGAAUUUCCUGGGAGAGGGCUGGAAGAGCCUGAAGGAAUUGACACCUGAAGCCCAAUGUUGACUAAAGUGUAUCUUGUUCUGGUGCAGAAAAGGCUUUUCACCCUUUCUUCCCCGUGGCCUUGUGGCUGCACCUGUGCCUGAUGUGGCUGGGAGUGCCUGAAAACACCUCUGAGAGGAGCAAGGAGGCAGAAAAUGGCACCGAAAGCCCAGUUUUUUUCUCUUUCUAGUGGAAGGGGGACAAGAUGCUCUUUUAAGGUCCCUUCCAACCCAGAGGCUCCUGGGACUCUGCAUUGUGCCUCCACCAGGCUCUGGCACUGCCUGUGCUCCCAGGAGACAGGAGGAGCUGUGGGCAAGCAGCAGCUGAGGGAAUGUCACCUGCUCCAGGGGUAACCAUCCCUCUGGGCCUCUGGAAGAGUCACCCUGCAGAGACACAAGAUCUUUUUGAAGCAGUCUCCACCUGCUCUGAGACCGGGGAUGGGCACACAGUGGGGCAGAUUCUCAACCACGCACCCAAAAGGGCUCCCCAGAGCCACCACCACUGCACUGUUGACAAAGUUUAUGUUUGACACCUUUUACCUGUUGACUUUGGUGAAGGGCACCAAGACCAUGGCUCUUUCCUGGACAUUUCCAGCAGCUGGAACAUGGCCCUGCAGACUGGGAGGCACUGGGAGGCUUUACAUCAGCAGGGCUCCUGGGCCAGGGGGGCACUCGGGGAGGAUCUGUGCUGGCAGGAUUUAUCCAGGCACCCAGAGCAGCUCCUGCUCCAUUUUCAGUGCCUGAACUGGGGCACUCCAGUGGGCAGAGAAGUUCUGUGCUGGCAGAGUGACCCUUCCAGCAGAACAGAGUACCGAGACUGAACCAUCUUACCUGCACACCAUCUAUAAUAUAAAACAGGUAUUUUACACGUAA